GGGCCCGUAGCUCAGAUGGUUAGAGCGGCUGACUUUUAAUCAGUAGGUCAUAGGUUCGAGUCCUAUCGGGCUCACCA
rnacentral:tRNA from 1 species